AAGACCAAAAAAAAAAAAAAAAGAGUAUUUCAGUUACUAUCUUUCCCCCUGCUAUUUGGUUAAUGCUUGGUUACAGUCUUUCUGCAUCUAUCUUUUCUCCCAGCCCAGGUUAUUUAAUCAGGCUGUUUGCUAACAUUGGGAAAAUUUGCUAACACUAGUGCUUGUGGACAUUCGUCAUGCAGGCAAACACCUCUGCAGCUCACAGUCAGCAAUCCAUGUGUUGUGCUAAUACUUUGGAGGCUAAGCAUGGUGUUUGGAAGGAAGUGAUGAAGUUAUCAUUGAAAGCUCAUAUGAGAACGACCUUCCAUGUAAGAAGUUCGACUACCCUGAGGCCACCAUGCUGUGAGGAAGCCCAAGUCACAUGGAGAAGCCAGUGGAGAUGCUUGGGUUGUCAGUUCCAGCUGAGCCCAGCCUUUGAGUCAUCCCAGCCCAGGCACAGAACAGGGUGAGGCUGCUCUGCAGAUAAUCAGUAAAGAUUGACAGGGCCCUGGGAUGAGACUACUACCACCACCACCACCGUCACCAUCAACGCCACCGCCAUCACUUUCACCAGCAUCACUACCAUCACCAUAAUCACCCCCAUCAUCACCAUCACCACCCACUACACUCACCAAACCCAGCAGUCUCAUAAGAAGGAACAAACAGCAAACUUACCUGGAAUAAGAUUUCCUGCUGUGGCGCAGUGGGUGAAGAAUCUGACUGCAGUGGCUUGGAUCGCUGUGGAGGUGUGGGUUCCAUCCCUGGCCCGGCACAGUGGGUUAGAGGAUCUGGCAUUCCUGCAGCUGUGGCUCUGAGGCAAUCCCUGGUCCAGGAACUUCCAUAUGCCACAAGUGUGGCCAUAAAGAAACAACCAAACUACCUGAGGUAUGGACAUAAUUCAGUAGAUCAAAAAAAGGAGGGGGGAUAUGCCUGGAAGAAUUAAAGCAACUAUCUCCCUUCAAUCAUAAUUACUAGAAAGACCAAGAGACAAAUGUUGGGGGGGUUGGGGGGGAACAAGCUCUCUUUUAUCUUCUUAGUGAGAUUUGAGAGGACGCAGCCUCUGAAAAACAAAGUCAGGCAGUCAUGAAAAGGAACUAAUCUGAGAAUCAGAAAAAAAUUCCUGGGGGUGAAAAUUAUGAUGAUCAGAUUUUUAAAGUGUCAUGGAGAAAGUGAUAGGAAUUUAGGUACCACAAAAUACUGAAUACUGACUUGGCGAAUUAAAGAAGAAUUCUCCCGAAACUCAGAGAACGAGACUGAAGAAGGGACAUGAAUGGGAGAGAGGAUAGGAAACGGCAAAGACGCCCAGAGGCCCAUUCUCCACAGUCUUGUGGCCUCUGUGUGACACUGCUGGGGCUGAGGAGGAGGGCAAUGUCAAAGGUGAUCCCGUGGCUCAGUUUUUAUUGUGAUAAAAUAUGGAUGACAUAAAAUUUGUUACUUUAACCACAGUACAGUUCAGGGGCAUUAAGUACAUCUCCAUGGUUACGCUACCCCAGCCCCAUCCUCCGGGACGUUUUCAGCUUCUCCAAUUAAAACUCUGUAUCCAUCAAAUUCUCACUCCCCACUGACUCCUCCCCCCAGUCCCUGGAAACCACCCUUCUAUUUUGUCUCCAUUAAUUAACGUGACUUCGCUAUCAGGCCUCUUGUGAGUGGCAUCAGAUAACACGUGUCCUUUCGUGGCUGCCUUACUUGACUUAGCACAAAGUCCUUGCCGUUCAUCCAUGUUGUCGCAUAUGUCAGAAUUUCCUUCCUUCUUAAGGCGGGAUAAUAUGCCAUUGUAUGUUUUGUUUAUAGUCAUUCAUCUAUCAGUGGACACUUGGGUUGAUUUUACCUUUUGGCUAUUGUGAAUAACACUGCUGUGAACGCUGGCACCCAAAUGUCUAUUUGAGCUCCUACUGUUUCUCCCCUUUUGCUUUUUUUCGGCCAUGCCUGAUGCCUGCAGAAGUUCCCGGGCCAGGGAUGGAAGCCAUCCCACUGCUGUAACGGGAGCCACAGCAGUGACAAUGCUGGAUCCUUAACCCGCUGAGCCUUAAGGGAGCUCCUACUUUCUCUUCUUUUGGAUGUGUAUCCAGAUAUGAAAAUGCUUAUUCUAGUUUUUUUGUUUUUUGAGGGAUUGCCGUGUUGUUUUCCACAGUGCGUGUACCAUUUUACAUCCUUAGCAGCAGUGCACAAGUGUUCCAGUUUCUCUACAUCCUCAUCCACCCUUAUUUUCUAUUUCUUUUUGGUAGUGGACAUCCUAGUAGGUAUGUGGUUUUGGUUUGCAUUUUGCUGAUGAUUAAUGAUAUUGAGCAUUUUUUCAUGGGCUUAUUUUGGCUUAUUUGUGUAUUUUCCUUGGAGAAAUAUCUAUUCAAGUCUUUUGCCUGUUUUAAAAUCCAGUUAUUGUUUUUUGUUGUUGUUGUUGAGCUGUAGAGAAGUUCUUUGUCUAUUCUGCACAUCAAUUCCUUAUUAAAUAUGUAAU